UACGGAGGGAGCUAGCGUUGUUCGGAAUUACUGGGCGUAAAGCGCACGUAGGCGGUUAUUCAAGUCAGAGGUGAAAGCCCGGGGCUCAACCCCGGAACUGCCUUUGAAACUAGAUGACUAGAAUCUUGGAGAGGUCAGUGGAAUUCCGAGUGUAGAGGUGAAAUUCGUAGAUAUUCGGAAGAACACCAGUGGCGAAGGCGACUGACUGGACAAGUAUUGACGCUGAAGUGCGAAAGCGUGGGGAGCAAACAGG
rnacentral:rRNA from 1 species